rnacentral:ncRNA from 1 species
GGAGCGGAUGCCGAAAAGCUAACAGAGUAGGCA